rnacentral:rRNA from 1 species
GUCUAUUUCAAGAAUAGAUUGGAUCUAUCCGGCUGCACUUUAUAAUAUUUUUUAGUAUUUUUCGGAUAAAUAAGAAAAGGGUGCACGAUCUCGACGAAUUACUUCUGAAUAAAUUCAGAAAUCAUAUGGAAGAACCAUAGCAUUUCGCGACUCAUUGGUAAAUCAACUUUGAUUCUCUAUAAACCAAGAAUGUGAGACCAUUAACACGGUUAAAGCUAAACUGCUUGAAGUCCAGGCAAAAAGAGGUACUCUUUCUACAACUAUAUUAGUAUUAGUACCGAAUUUAAACGGGAAAUAGCUAAUGUAAAAUUUAUCUGAUAUAGAACACUCAUAUCGAUAAAAUGGUUUGAACUAUUUACUAGAAAAAAAAGGGGGCACCCUGCCCUUUUUUAACCAAUGCCGAAUCGACGACCUAUGUAUAAAAAAGAGAAAUUUUUUGGAUUUGAAGAAAAAAAAAGAAUUCUAUUAAUUUUCAUUUUCCAUUUAUUUAGUUAGUUUUUCUUAAUGAAAUUGAAAUUAUUAAAGAGGGCAAAUAAAAAUAAAGAAACAACUUUGCUGACCAUGAUAUAUUUUUAUCUAGGCGGAAGAGUCCUCUUAAUAUUUAUCUAGUCUUAUAUAGGUUUCGGUAUAUUGAAAUAUAAACAUAAAAAAGAAGAUAGAGGAUAGGCUCAUUACUUAAAAAAAAGAUAUGGAAAUAGCUAUAGAAAAAAAAUAAGGAGCAUGAGAGCCAAA